UUACCUGCCACUUCCGCCUAAGGCAUUUUGCGCCACGUGGACUUAAAUCAGCAUCUGCUACACAUUUCAUCAACUGCCGUUUCCUCAAAGUGCUGUGCUAACGUUAAUCCCAGCUUCACCGAGGUUCUCUCAGCUCUGUAGCCUGUUUCAUGUCUGUUCAAGGUACAAUGAGACCACUGAGAGAGGUUCAGAUGGUAUAACCGCCAUUUUCAAUCUUUCUCUGUCACCUUGUAGGGAAUGCUUUCUAACAGUGGAUUUACCCUGAACUGCCUUUGUGAAAGCUGGUUUGAGGCCAGUAAAUUACAGUAGAGCAUGGUGUGGCUUGCCAGAGAGGGGCUUCAUUAGUCCGUCUGUUUGACCUGCGGUUUCACCUGCCCGUGUCCUGUCAGCAAAAUGUAGCCUAAUGUCACUAAUAAUUAUUCAUAUGUUAAUGGUUUUAAUAAAUCUUUCUAGAUUGCCACCAUAUUGGUGAAUUUAAAUUAAUAUUUGUAUUCAGAGUAUAAGGUGUGUGUACGCACGUGUGUUUAGGAGUCCACCUUAGCACUUGUAGCCUCUAUGGCUUUAUUAAAUCAUUGUCAGACAGUAUUUGAUGACUGAAAUCUCUCUCGCCAGUAUUAGCCAGAGGAGGAGGUCCUCCAGGAGUUUUGAAUUUUCUUUUUUAAAAUUUAUUGUUAAACCACACCGUGGUAUCGUGUACUUCUGGUGGUAUUAUUACCGACUACUAGAUUUUUGGUAUUGUGACAUCCCUAAUGCACACACACAUAUGGCUUUUGUAUGUAUAAACACAGAGCUACAGCAAACAGCUUAUGGUGUGUGUUUAUUUAUGACAUUGUUAAUAUUACGUCUGUUAUUCACAUAACGUGUACAGUAACAAGUAAAAACACUUGCAUUGGAGUUCGUGUUACAUUUCACACAUCCUGCGAUCCGCUAUGUCCCAUAAAAGUUGAAAACUCAUAGUGGCUAGGUAACAAUUAAGUCAGUGCGACUGUUUAAUGUGAAUUGUUUUGCCGUUUGGAUUUUACCUUGUUACUUCAACUGUAUUGUUAAAAAAAAUAGACAGUUGCAAAAAUGAAACUUUUAUCAGCACAAAAAUAAAGGUUGUUCACGUU